rnacentral:rRNA from 1 species
GACGAACGCUGGCGGCGUGCUUAANACAUGCAAGUCGAACGAGGGAAUUGAAAGCUUGCUUUUGAAACCCGAGUGGCAAACGGGUGAGUAACGCGUAGGCAACCUGCCCCCCAGAUGGGGACAACAUCCCGAAAAGGGGGUGCUAAUACCGAAUGAAGUAUCCAUUCCGCAUGGGAAGGAUACCAAAGGCUGGGCAACCGGUCACUGGGGGAUGGGCCUGCGUCUGAUUAGCUUGUUGGUGAGGUAACGGCCCACCAAGGCGACGAUCAGUAGCCGGUCUGAGAGGAUGAACGGCCACAUUGGGACUGAGACACGGCCCAAACUCCUACGGGAGGCAGCAGUGGGGAAUCUUCCGCAAUGGGCGAAAGCCUGACGGAGCAACGCCGCGUGAGUGAAGAAGGUUUUCGGAUCGUAAAGCUCUGUUGUCGGGGACGAGAGAGCGCCUCAGGAAAUGGGGGCGCCAGGACGGUACCCGGCGAGAAAGCCACGGCUAACUACGUG